rnacentral:tRNA from 1 species
GCCCCCGUGGCGGAAAUGGUAUACGCAGCAGACUUAAAAUCUGUAACCUAUAGGUUUGAGAGUUCGAAUCUCUCCGGGGGUA